GAUGAACGCUGGCGGCGUGCUUAAUACAUGCAAGUCGAACGGAAAGGCCCUGCUCUUGCGUGGUGCUCGAUAGGCGAACGGGUGAGUAACACGCGAGUAACCUGCCCCUGUCUGUGGGAUAACUUCAGGAAACUGGGGCUCAUAUCGGAUAGGAGCUCCUGCUGCAUGGUGGGGGUUGGAAAGUUUCGGUGUUUUGGGUUGGACUCGAGGUUUCUGCGCUUGUUGGUGAGGUAGUUGCUUACCAAGGCUAUGACGGGUAGCCGGCCUGGGAGGGUGACCGGCCACAUUGGGACUGGGGUGCGGCCCGGACGCCUACGGGAGGCAGGAGUGGAGAAUAGAGCACAAUGGGCGGAAGCCUGAUGGAGCAACGCCGCGUGGGGGAUGACGGCCUUCGGGUUGUAAACCGCUUUCGCCUGUGACGAAGCGUGAGUGACGGUAAUGGGUAAAGAAGCACCGGCUAACUACGU
rnacentral:rRNA from 1 species